GACGGUGUGGCUCGAAUGGUUAGGCAGGUUACUUGAAAUUUCCCUCAUGCCGGUUCGAAUCCGGUCACCGUCU
rnacentral:tRNA from 1 species